GUAACUUAGCCUUGACAGAUUUGAGUUACUGCAGUAGUGUAACUUUGAAAAUACACUAAAAAUAGUGGAAAAUGAGUUAGAGGCAGAAUAAAAUAUGGGAUUAAAUAUUAAUGAGUCUAUUUUCACAUGAAAGAAAUAGAGGAAGAAAAAUAAUUCUAUAUUGUGUGAUAUUUAAAUUCUUGUGAAACAGGGUCUGAAUGAAUUUGAGAUCCCCUAUUCUGAUUUUAUAAAUUCA
rnacentral:lncRNA from 1 species